ACUCCUACGGGAGGCAGCAGUGGGGAAUAUUGCACAAUGGGGGAAACCCUGAUGCAGCCAUGCCGCGUGUGUGAAGAAGGCCUUCGGGUUGUAAAGCACUUUCAGUUGUGAGGAAAGGGAUGUAGUUAAUACCUACAUUCUGUGACGUUAGCAACAGAAGAAGCACCGGCUAACUCCGUGCCAGCAGCCGCGGUAAUACGGAGGGUGCGAGCGUUAAUCGGAAUUACUGGGCGUAAAGCGCAUGCAGGUGGUUUGUUAAGUCAGAUGUGAAAGCCCGGGGCUCAACCUCGGAACUGCAUUUGAAACUGGCAGACUAGAGUACUGUAGAGGGGGUAGAAUUUCAGGUGUAGCGGUGAAAUGCGUAGAGAUCUGAAGGAAUACCGGUGGCGAAGGCGGCCCCCUGGAGCAGAUACUGACACUCAGAUGCGAAAGCGUGGGGAGCAAACAGGAUUAGAUACCCUGGUAGGAUAG
rnacentral:rRNA from 1 species